rnacentral:rRNA from 1 species
AGCACAGAGAGCUUGCUCUCGGGUGACGAGCGGCGGACGGUGAGUAAUGUCUGGGAAACUGCCUGAUGGAGGGGGAUAACUACUGGAAACGGUAGCUAAUACCGCAUAACGUCGCAAGACCAAAGUGGGGGACCUUCGGGCCUCAUGCCAUCAGAUGUGCCCAGAUGGGAUUAGCUGGUAGGUGGGGUAACGGCUCACCUAGGCGACGAUCCCUAGCUGGUCUGAGAGGAUGACCAGCCACACUGGAACUGAGACACGGUCCAGACUCCUACGGGAGGCAGCAGUGGGGAAUAUUGCACAAUGGGCGCAAGCCUGAUGCAGCCAUGCCGCGUGUGUGAAGAAGGCCUUCGGGUUGUAAAGCACUUUCAGCGGGGAGGAAGGCGGUGAGGUUAAUAACCUCAYCGAUUGACGUUACCCGCAGAAGAAGCACCGGCUAACUCCGUGCCAGCAGCCGCGGUAAUACGGAGGGUGCAAGCGUUAAUCGGAAUUACUGGGCGUAAAGCGCACGCAGGCGGUCUGUCAAGUCGGAUGUGAAAUCCCCGGGCUCAMCCUGGGAACUGCAUUCGAAACUGGCAGGCUAGAGUCUUGUAGAGGGGGGUAGAAUUCCAGGUGUAGCGGUGAAAUGCGUAGAGAUCUGGAGGAAUACCGGUGGCGAAGGCGGCCCCCUGGACAAAGACUGACGCUCAGGUGCGAAAGCGUGGGGGAGCAAACAGGAUUAGAUACCCUGGUAGUCCACGCUGUAAACGAUGUCGAUUUGGAGGUUGUGCCCUUGAGGCGUGGCUUCCGGAGCUAACGCGUUAAAUCGACCGCCUGGGGAGUACGGCCGCAAGGUUAAAACUCAAAUGAAUUGACGGGGGCCCGCACAAGCGGUGGAGCAUGUGGUUUAAUUCGAUGCAACGCGAAGAACCUUACCUGGUCUUGACAUCCACAGAACUUUCCAGAGAUGGAUUGGUGCCUUCGGGAACUGUGAGACAGGUGCUGCAUGGCUGUCGUCAGCUCGUGUUGUGAAAUGUUGGGUUAAGUCCCGCAACGAGCGCAACCCUUAUCCUUUGUUGCCAGCGGUUAGGCCGGGAACUCAAAGGAGACUGCCAGUGAUAAACUGGAGGAAGGUGGGGAUGACGUCAAGUCAUCAUGGCCCUUACGACCAGGGCUACACACGUGCUACAAUGGCAUAUACAAAGAGAAGCGACCUCGCGAGAGCAAGCGGACCUCAUAAAGUAUGUCGUAGUCCGGAUUGGAGUCUGCAACUCGACUCCAUGAAGUCGGAAUCGCUAGUAAUCGUAGAUCAGAAUGCUACGGUGAAUACGUUCCCGGGCCUUGUACACACCGC